rnacentral:rRNA from 1 species
GAUGAACGCUGGCGGCGUGCCUAAUACAUGCAAGUCGAGCGAACAGACGAGGAGCUUGCUCCUCUGACGUUAGCGGCGGACGGGUGAGUAACACGUGGAUAACCUACCUAUAAGACUGGGAUAACUUCGGGAAACCGGAGCUAAUACCGGAUAAUAUAUUGAACCGCAUGGUUCAAUAGUGAAAGACGGUUUUGCUGUCACUUAUAGAUGGAUCCGCGCCGCAUUAGCUAGUUGGUAAGGUAACGGCUUACCAAGGCAACGAUGCGUAGCCGACCUGAGAGGGGGGGGGGCCACGCUGGAAGUGAGACCCGGACAGGACGCCGAGGGGGGGGAGCAGUAGGGUAUAUGCCGAAAUGGGAGAAGGCAUGAGAAAGCAGAGCCGUGUGAGAGAUAAAGGUAUUAGGAUCGAAAACAUGUGUUAUUGGGGAAGAAAAAAUGUGUAAGGACUUAGGACGUGCUGGAGGGUACGUAAUCAGAAAGCCACGGCUAACAACGUG